AAUUGCCUAGUGAUAGCAUUAGCCAUGAUGAGGUGUGAGAAGAGCAGAGACUGUGGGAGCAACUGCGCAAGAGCUGUGUGGCUGCUGGGAGGUGCUCUGAGAAACACAGGAAGUGAGGUGAGGCGUCACCAGCAGCCCACAAAGAUCUUCCUGGCUGUCCUAGACAGGGCCAAGCAGCAAAUCCCCGGUGGCCUCGGGCUCUCUUCCCUGUUUCACAGGAUGAGGCCACCGGUGCCUUCAGCCCCACUAGCUCUCUGGGUCCUGGGCUGCUUCUCCCUGCUCCUUUGGCUAUGGGCACUGUGCACAGCCUGCCACAGGAAGAGAGCUCAGAGGCAGCAAACUGGGCUGCAGGACAGUUUGGUACCAGUGGAAAUGCCACUGCUGAGACAGACCCACCUCUGCUCCCUCAGCAAGUCUGACACCAGACUGCAUGAGCUGCACCGAGGCCCACGCUCCAGCAUAGCCCCACGGCCUGCUAGUAUGGAUCUUCUGCAUCCACGCUGGCUAGAGAUGUCCAGGGGCAGCACCAGGUCUCAGGUACCCAACUCUGCCUUCCCACCAUGGCAGCUGCCCAGGGCCCCUCCUGCUGCUCCUGCAACUGCACCUUCUACUAGCCCUGAGGCCACUUAUUCCAAUGUGGGGCUGGCUGCAAUUCCCAGGGCCAGCCUGGCUGCUAGCCCUGUGGUGUGGGCUGGAACACAGCUGACCAUUAGUUGUGCCAGGCUUGGUCCUGGGGCUGAAUAUGCCUGCAUCCAGAAGCGCAAAGGGACAGAGCAAGGCUGCCAAGAAUUGCAGCAGAAGGCUAAGGUGAUCCCAGCGACUCAGAUGGACGUCUUAUACUCUAGGGUCUACAAGCCUAAGAGAAGAGACCCAAGACCCGUCACAGACCAGUUGAACCUCCAGGAUGGGAGAACAAGUCUGCCCCUUGGGAGUGAUGUGGAGUACGAGGCCAUCAACCUCAGGGGCCAGGAUAUGAAGCAAGGGCCUUUAGAAAAUGUGUAUGAAAGCAUCAAGGAGAUGGGCCUGUGAGCAGCUCAGGCCUCACAUUUUGUCUUUAAUGUGGUGGCUUGGCUGGCUUGGAGGUCUCAGAGCUACAGGAACCUCAGACCAUGAACCCAGGAGCUUAGGAAACCAAGGCUGGAGCUUCAGUGCAGCUCCCAAAGCCUGUCCACAUUCCAGUGCCAGUAAAGAGGACAAUGAAGCCACUAAGCCUCUAUGGAGCAAGCAGUGCCCUCAAACCUGAUGUGCCACCUUCUAAGCUUGCCUCUUGGACUCUAAGAGAUAUCUGGGUCCUGAGUGCCCCAAUUGAGGCCAAAAGUGUAACUCCACUUGGCUGGCCAUGCCAAACAUCCCUACCUUCUGCUGGAGAGGCUUUUCUCUAAGUCUCCAAGGCCACAUCUUGCUAGUUGCCCCUAUUCCUCAAGGCUCACCUGAACAGGUGGCAGCUCUUAAUCAGAGACUUGGAGAGCACCAGCAGGCAGAGUUUCUGCAAAGCAGCUUGAGCCUUCCAAGCUCCCGAGUGGAAUUUGCCUGCAGAAUCUGGCUUGCAGCCCUGGAAGGAAGCUGUCUGUGGUUCAUCCUCCAGGCAGCUACAGCAGAAGCAGCAACAGAGGAGACUGGGGCUAGGACCUGACCAGCAGCUAGUCUUCUCCAUCCACUCCAUCACCCCUGCUGCCCCCUUAAGCAGCCCACUUUCUGCUUGGGGAGCCCAUUCUGAGAAAAAAAGCAAGGUAGGCCUGAGGAAAUCUCCCUAGGUUGGGCAGGACAGGGUGGUCACUGUUGACAAAGGCCCGAUCACUUCAGAACUCUAUUCAGGUUGUGUUCCAGUGCCUAUGGAAAAGCUGUGAGGUGUUGUGCACAGUCUCUGGGAUACAGAGACAUAGCCGCUUGGUGCACCUGGGAUAUGGUAGGACUGGGAAUUUGGCCAGGGUGGGGUCAGGCCUCGCCAAAACUUUUAAGCCCUCACAUCUGCUCCUUGCAGGAGGCAGGCAGACAGUGCAGAGUGAUGACAAAGAGGACUUCACUACACGGAGCUCUAUAUUGACAUGACCAUGCUGCCUGACCCCAGUUUCUCCUAUCGUCUCCAUGCCACUCACCUUUCCUCAUCUGGAGCUCCCAGAGUUGCUGGAGCCCACAGCUCUUCCCAACCUGUUAUAGCCAGCUCUUUGUCUCCACCUCCUAAGCUCAGCUGUUCAGCUGUUCCACAGGCAUGCCACAGUGACCAUGCCGAUCAGCCAAGUGAGGCCACAGAUAGCAAUUAGGGUCAAGUCUCAGAGCACUCUGGAGAGAAACAGUACAGAGGUUGUGGCUCAUUCUAGAACUGUCUGGCCACCUGGAACCACAGGCCAGGGCCUACAUACUAGCCCUGCCUGCCAAGCUCUGGGCCAAUCCGAGGUGUGUGUAGUUUGAGGGACUGGGCAUGUAAUACGUGGUAAAGGUCUCAGCUGACAAUUCUCCAUACCCCCUGCAUGUCCCCUCCAGGAAGCGCCAAAAAGUGCCAAAGAGUUUAUAGCAUGGGACCCAUGGUGCUCAGUUUGCUGCUGGAAGAAAGCCUGCUAGCAGUUCCUGGACUGAGCCAAUCUGUGAUGCCACUGCCUGGCCUUCUUCUCACGCCUAAUCUGAACCUCCAGCAAACCUGUGGUGGGAUGUGACUCCGGGGGGUGGAGGGGUGACUGAAUACUCAAAGUGCCUUGGAAGAAACCCAAAACCAAACUGCUUAUUGUCCUUUGACUUCAGGGGCAGUUUGCCUCCCUGUCUGUCACUUAGCUACUCGUCAAAGAUGUCAGUGGACCCCAUUAGAGCCUGUUUAAGAUGCACUUUGAGGGCUGGUGAGAUGGCUCAGUGGGUAAGAGCACCCGACUGCU